rnacentral:rRNA from 1 species
UACGUAGGGUGCGAGCGUUGUCCGGAAUUAUUGGGCGUAAAGAGCUUGUAGGCGGUUUGUCGCGUCUGCUGUGAAAUCUCAAGGCUCAACCUUGAGCUUGCAGUGGGUACGGGCAGACUAGAGUGUGGUAGGGGAGACUGGAAUUCCUGGUGUAGCGGUGAAAUGCGCAGAUAUCAGGAGGAACACCGAUGGCGAAGGCAGGUC